UACGUAGGCAGCGAGCGUUGUUCGGAGUUACUGGGCGUAAAGGGUGCGUAGGCGGUUGUUUAAGUUUGGUGUGAAAUCUCCCGGCUCAACUGGGAGGGUGCGCCGAAUACUGAAUGACUAGAGUGCGGGAGAGGAUAGUGGAAUUCCUGGUGUAGCGGUGAAAUGCGUAGAUAUCAGGAGGAACACCGGUGGUGUAGACGGCUAUCUGGACC
rnacentral:rRNA from 1 species